AGGACGAACGCUGGCGGCGCGCCUAACACAUGCAAGUCGAACGAGAGAUGAGGAGCUUGCUCUUCAGAUCGAGUGGCGAACGGGUGAGUAACGCGUGAGGAACCUGCCUCAAAGAGGGGGACAACAGUUGGAAACGACUGCUAAUACCGCAUAAGCGCACAGCUUCGCAUGAAGCAGUGUGAAAAACUCCGGUGGUACAGGAUGGACCCGCGUCUGAUUAGAUAGUUGGUGAGGUAACGGCCCACCAAGUCAACGAUCAGUAGCCGGCCUGAGAGGGCGAACGGCCACAUUGGGACUGAGACACGGCCCAAACUCCUACGGGAGGCAGCAGUGGGGAAUAUUGCACAAUGGGGGAAACCCUGAUGCAGCGACGCCGCGUGGAGGAAGAAGGUCUUCGGAUUGUAAACUCCUGUCCCAGGGGACGAUAAUGACGGUACCCUGGGAGGAAGCACCGGCUAACUACGUG
rnacentral:rRNA from 1 species